rnacentral:lncRNA from 1 species
GGGGGUACGUGCUAGAAACUUCUUCCCAAAUAUCACGGUGUCAUAGUAGAAUAUGCUACAGAGUUUGAAUGGGAGAAAGAGAACUUCACAGACAGGUCUAUCUCAGCCAGAGUCAUCCCACAACGCACCAAUUUGAAGGAACAACUCUUAUCUUUUAUUUAGUUUGAGUCCUUUAUUUUUCUGUCCUUGUAUUGUUGUGUCUUUGUUCAGUCGGG